rnacentral:tRNA from 1 species
GCCCUGGUGGCAUAGUGGUUAAGCGUUCAGCUGCUAACUGAAAGGUUGGCAGUUCAAUCCACCAGGCCC